rnacentral:lncRNA from 1 species
AUGACCCGUUGAAGCUUCGCGACGGAACCGGCACGAUACCGGGAAGCGUAAAUAGUGAAUUUACAAUAGAGCGAGAUUUAGCCUUAGCGAUCUAAACGAAAGUCGUAGAAUAUGUUAAACUAAGAACAUUGAUAAAAAGAACUCCCAAAUCUGACUUCGUAUGAGGAAGUUAUGAUUUUUCUAAGAUUUAGCAUAGCAGUGCACAGCCCGAAAUCUGAAUUUUAGAUCGGUCGAUUUUUAGCCGACGGGAUCUAAAUGAAAGUUGUAGUACUCGUAAAUACCAACGCGUGGAUAUAAAGAACGUUGAUAAUAGAGCUCGUAUGCAAAAGUUAUGGACGAAGCUUAGUCCCUACUUUUCGAGCGCGGCGAAUUUGAUACAGUUUUGUAAAUACGAGAUAGAAUGAGAAUUAGCCAACGAGGUCUAAAUGAGAGUUGAAGAUCUCAUUAAUAGGAACUCAACGGUAAAAAGACAGACAAAAAUGGAGCUCGUAUGCGAAAGUUAUGGACGAAGCUUAGUCCCUACUUUUCAAGCGCGGCGAAUUUGAUACAGUUUUGUAAAUCCGAGAUAGAAUGAGAAUUAGCCAACGAGGUCUAAAUGAAAGUUGAAGAUCUCAUUAAUAGGAACUCAACAGUAAAAAGACAGACAAAAACGGAGCUCGUAUGCAAAAGUUACGGACGAAGCUUGGAGACUACUUUACUAUACACUUCCUAUAAAUACAAGGGUGAACUCCUCAUAUUUUCUUCACACCAUAAGCCUUUCUUUCUCUCUCUAACUUCUCUCUAGCCUCCCUAAACCCCUCCCAAGUCUAGGGAACCUCCCUAUCACGAGAAGAAAGCCCCGGAGCGCCCGACGGCUCCGAGAAGAAAAGCUUUCGGCUCGGAAACGCUGCUCCAGCGAAGCCCGGUUUUUAAUAAAAACCCGCUGUAAGUGAGCUACGCCUAUAGUAUAUUUAAUAUAGAUUUUAUUUAAUUAUAGUAACAUUGUUAGGACCUUAAAAUAAUUAUUUAGGCUAUUAUUAUGAGUUAUAUUGAGUGUUAUUUAACGCUUAUAUAAUAGUAAUAAUAGCUAGACUAUUAAAUUAGUCUCGUCAAGCGUUAGACUAAACUCUAGUGGUAAUGAUACUAGGUUUCGUCAAGGGAUAAUUGUUUUAAGAGUAACGAAGUGCUGUCCGAGUGCCGACUCACCACCUUUCAGGUGAGUGCAUAGUCCCUUUCAUCUUACACAUAGAUAUGAAGUAUUUUAUAUAAACUACGUGCUAUGUGUGCACAUUAUCUGAAUACUUGCUGUCUAUGCUGGUUGAACGUUUUAUACAUGUUUUAAAGGACUUAAACUGUAUACGUAUUUUAUAUAUACGAAAAUGUUGGGUAUGAGAUGGGUAGAUGAAUGAUGAGAGAUAGAAGAUGACGUGAGUAUACAUUGGCAGCUAUAGACUUAGUGCCUAUGGGACAAACACCGGUAGCUAUGGACUUAGUACCUUUUAGACGUUGGUAGCUAUGGAUUUAGUACCUGUUGGGAAUUGGUAGCUAUGGACUUAGUACCUAUUAGUUAGACGCUGGUAGCUAAGGAUUUAGUACCUGUAGGAAUUGGUAGCUAUGGACUUAGUACCUGUUGAACAUUGGUAGCUAUGGACUUAGUACCUAUUAGAUAAAGACUGGUAGCUAUGGAUUUAGUACCCGAUGAAUAGACUAUAGCAGCUAUGGAAUUAGUGCUUUAUGAACGAACAUUGGCAGCUAUGGAUUUAGUGCCAGUCCCAUAACCCUGGAAGUAAGGGACUUCGGAAUAAACGAAUGCAGGAUAGAUGACUCUUAGGUUAAAUCCUUAAAGAGUAAAGAAGAUAAUGGGGAUGGGUAAUUGGGUUGAUUGUUUGAUUGAACAUAAUAAUUAUAUUAUUGUGGGUUGAAAACCCUAUGUACUCACCAGGUUUCCCAACCUGACCCACUCAGUUUAUGUAUAUCACAGGUGACGAAGUGAAGUGACAUUACACUGAGAGAUUUAAAAGAGAUGUAGAUCACUAGUGUAAAUCAUUGUAAUUCUGUUUAUGCUUAUGUUUCGGUAUUAACGAUGACAUCCCAAACAUUUUAAAAUGAAAUAAAUACGUUUCUUCGAAAAUGUUUUAAUAACGUAUUUACCAUGUUUUUCUGGGAACAAAUUCCGCAACCUUUUUAUAAAAUGAAGUACUCUGAUUUUUAUAAAGCAUAAACAAAAUCGGUCUUUUCUGGCCGUGAUUUUGGGGAUGUCACAGUUGGUAUCAGAGCAUUAGUUUAAGCGAACUAGGAAUAUGGAUUUAUUUCUAGACUUAAACUUAGAAUGCUAAGCGAUGAUUGUGAGGUGUGAGCACUAGCUUAUUUUAGGAAUUGUGCCUAAAAUGCUUUUAUGUGCUAAAUGCUUUGUGCAUGAUAUGUUGUUAAUUGUUCGGAUCUAUGGUCUGUUGCCGACCGGAUCUGGAAACCUUAUGUGUUUAGGAUUCUAAACGUACGACUACGGUAUUAGAACUAGCAUGUAAAUGUUUCGGAGUGAUAAGGAUGAUUUAAACGUCAAGUAAAGGUCUAAAUUCACCUUAUUCGGUGUAUAGAUCGAGAUGGUAAGGACCCGUAGCGGAAACGUAAACGCAAAUGGGAACAGGAACCAACCCCCAGUGGUUCAGCAAAUACCUGUUGUAGAAGAAGUUGCGCCUGAGCCAGUCACCAUGGCUGGAGUUCAAGCCAUGAUUCGGGCUAUGUUGGCUGAACAAAGGGAAGAAAUGAGACGGAUGUUGAAUAGGGACGAACCUACUAUGCCCAUUGAGCAACCCGAACUGAUUCCCGAGCAAUCUGAGGAAGGGAACUACAGCCGCCAAGUGAGUCAAGUUGGGACUCAAGGUGAGCAAAGGGAUGGCCCAGAAGGGAGAAACAACAAGGAUGGGCGGAUGUACAAGAACUUCUUGGGUGCGAAACCACCAAGCCUCUCAGGAAGCCCAAAGCCGGUUGAGGUUAUGGAUUGGAUCUCUGAGAUGGAGAUGGUGUUUGAGAGCUGCAGCUGUAAUGAGAAACAGAAGACUGUCUUUGCAGUAAGACAGCUGAAAACUGGAGUCUUGAGCUGGUGGAAGCUAUUGGCAGAUACGAUGCCACGAGGAGAAGCCUUAAGGAUGUCGUGGGAAGAGUUUUUGGAACAGUUGAAAAUGCAGUACUGCUCGGAGGUAGAUCUGAUAGACCUAAACAACGAGUUUCAGAACCUGAAGAAAGGGAAGAUGAGUGUUGAUGAGUAUGCCACCGCAUUUACCGAGAGGAUGAAGCUAUUUCCCUACUUGGUGCCUACUGAACUCUCCAAGAUUGAUAGGUUUGCUAACGGACUGCCCACUGACUUUGGUCCAAUGGUCAAAAUGGCAACUACCUUAAAAGCAGCUAUUAGGGCAGCUAAGAACGUAGAGGCCCAGAUAAGAGAAAAGGGUCUAGAAAAAGAUAAGGCAGGAGAGAAGCGAAAGUUUGAGGGAUCUUCGAGGUCGAACAAGGAAAGCAAAUUCUCAAAACUCGGAGGAGCAGAUGGAGGUGAAACAAGAUGGUGUGAUAAAUGCAAGAAGAAGCAUGGUGGGAAGUGCAACGAAGAAGUGACUUGUUACAAGUGUGGGAGGACGGGUCACUAUUCCAAAGACUGCACACAUAAUGACAAAGUAUGCUACGGAUGUGGAGGCAAGGGGCACAUGUCCAGAGACUGCCCAAGGAAAAAUAAAGCAGCAAGACCAGAAACGCCACCAAGGCCAAGGGCAUUUCACAUGAUCCUCGACGAAGCAGAGAACCAUGCGAGGAAUCAAGAAUGAGGACUUCUUACCCGAAGAUCGGAUUAUGCAGUAGCCAUAGUUUCGUAUGAUGUAGCCUAGUAGAGGCAUAGUCUAGGGUGAACUUGAACACCUAUGUAAUCGUUUCAAGAAUUAAUAUAAAACCUUCGUUUUGUUAUCUGAUGUGUCGAAUGAUUGUGUGAUUUGCUGCAUGGUGACUUGGGAAACUGCGAGACAAUACUUGGGACGAGUAUGAGUAGGUGUGAAUGGUAGUAGAGGCCUAUACUACCGGAAGCACAGGACUCACACUUGGAUCAGGGAAAGUCACAAGGUUACCAAGAAGCUAGUAAUUGAUUUCGUUUUAUUCAAGUGUGUUGUUACCAUCGUUUCGGUAAUGACUAAGAAGAUUGUUGAUAUUCCGACCCUAGUGGUCAUAUCGAAUCGAGUCCGACUACGAUGAGUAUGUUGUGUGGUUCAGAGAACCAAGUUUGAUGUAGCGUCCGACUUAAACCAAACGGUUGAAAUCAAAGCGAUCAAUAGAAGUAUCGCACUCGUUGUUAAAGAAGUUGGUGGCUAGAAAUGCCUAAUGUUAAAGUGUGAUUAUAUCACAUUAGAACAUGAAGGAAGGCAUAGUCUGUUUUAGAAUUUAACUCUAAGAGACCUAAGUCUAAGUGUUGCAACAUACGAUGAUAGGUCAUUAGAAUAUGACACAUCGAUCUAUAGUAGUAAUAAAAGAACUUAUCUCAAGUCCGUAUCCAGCAAGGAUCGAGAUUGUGACUUGAAGGUCAUAAUUUGGAGUCUAACCUGAGGUAGAGAGCAGGUGCACGAUCGAGUACUCUUACAGUCAAUGAGUUUAAGAGAUAGAAUCGAAGGAAUGUAGAAGUUAUAAUUAUUACCUAGGAUGAAGAGAUGACGUAUGGAGUCAUUAUACGACCCUGUUUCGUUGAUGAUUCCGGGACGUAAUCAUCCUAAGGGGGAGAUAAUUGUAACGCCCGCAAAUCUGGGCUAGUCAAAUUAGAGGCAAUAGGGGUCGAAAACGACUUUUCGACAAAAGAUUAUUUAGAAUAAAUAAUCUUAACCAAGUUGUAGAGUAUGUUACAAGGUUUUCGUACAUAUAAAGAACGCCGAAAACCGAGUUAUAACGAAGAAGUUAUGACCCGUUGAAGUUUCGCGACGGAACCGGCACGAUACCGGGAAGCGUAAAUAGUGAAUUUACGAUAGAGCGAGAUUUAGCCUUAGCGAUCUAAACGAAAGUCGUAGAAUAUGUUAAACUAAGAACAUCGAUAAAAAGAACGCCCAAAUCUGACUUCGUAUGAGGAAGUUAUGAUUUUUCUAAGAUUUAGCAUAGCAGUGCACAGCCCGAAAUCUGAAUUUUAGAUCGGUCGAUUUUUAGCCGACGGGAUCUAAAUGAAAGUUGUAGUACUCGUAAAUACCAACGCGUGGAUAUAAAGAACGUCGAUAAUAGAGCUCGUAUGCAAAAGUUAUGGACGAAGCUUAGUCCCUACUUUUCGAGCGCGGCGAAUUCGAUACAGUUUUGUAAAUACGAGAUAGAAUGAGAAUUAGCCAACGAGGUCUAAAUGAGAGUUGAAGAUCUCAUUAAUAGGAACUCAACGGUAAAAAGACAGACAAAAAUGGAGCUCGUAUGCGAAAGUUAUGGACGAAGCUUAGUCCCUACUUUUCGAGCGCGGCGAAUUUGAUACAGUUUUGUAAAUCCGAGAUAGAAUGAGAAUUAGCCAACGAGGUCUAAAUGAAAGUUGAAGAUCUCAUUAAUAGGAACUCAACAGUAAAAAGACAGACAAAAACGGAGCUCGUAUGCAAAAGUUACGGACGAAGCUUGGAGACUACUUUACUAUACACUUCCUAUAAAUACAAGGGUGAACUCCUCAUAUUUUCUUCACACCAUAAGCCUUUCUUUCUCUCUCUAACUUCUCUC